UGGGGAAUAUUGGGCAAUGGGCGAAAGCCUGACCCAGCAACGCCGCGUGAAGGAAGAAGGUCUUCGGAUUGUAAACUUCUUUUAUAAGGGACGAAGAAAGUGACGGUACCUUAUGAAUAAGCCACGGCUAACUACGUGCCAGCAGCCGCGGUAAUACGUAGGUGGCAAGCGUUAUCCGGAUUUACUGGGUGUAAAGGGCGCGUAGGCGGGGAUGCAAGUCAGGUGUGAAAUCUAUGGGCUCAACCCAUAAACUGCACUUGAAACUGUGUCUCUUGAGUGUCGGAGAGGUAGAUGGAAUUCCUUGUGUAGCGGUGAAAUGCGUAGAUAUAAGGAAGAACACCAGUGGCGAAGGCGAUCUACUGGACGAUAACUGACGCUGAGGCGCGAAAGCGUGGGGAGCAAACA
rnacentral:rRNA from 1 species